rnacentral:lncRNA from 1 species
UAUAAAUAUGGAUGCUGUCUCUAUGUCUAUAAUAAUACAAUUGUAAAUCUAACACCCUAUGCUUUUUAUCGACCGUCCCUAGAGCAAGUGGCAAAGGACAUGGUGGUUGGUAUCGGAGACCCAAGUUCGAAUUCUAGUUGAUUCACAUUUCCAGCUAAGUUUAUUUCUAAAUGAAAUAAACGAAGCGGGUAGCGUCCUAUCUAUCUCUCAAAAAAAAAAAAAACACCUCAUGCUUUUUAUAGUCUAAAUUUACAAAGAUACAAAAUAUACAAAAUUUAUCCGAACUUUCUUUCUACUAGUUUGAACUAGUUAUCCAAUUUACCGAAAUUUUAAUUUUAUUAUCCAAACUUUUAAUUUGUUUGCUUUGUGUCAGCCAACGAUACUUCUAUUUUAAAAUUUAAGCUAAUUAUUUAUUUUUAUAAAUUUGUAGCUGUGAGUUUGAAUGAUAUUUACUGAUUAUACCUGUAAAAAAAAACGAAAUAUUAAAAUUUUAAAAAUAAAGUAUUGUUAACUAAUUCAAAUCAAACAAACUGAAAGAUUGAGCAAUAAAACCAAAAGUUUAAAUAAUUCAUAAUUUACAUAUGUGUUGCACUUCUUUUACCAAAAAUACAAAGGCUACAUCACAAAAAAUUUCUAUACAAAUAUCCAUUUUUUUACUUUACCUUCCUCACUUGAAAAAAUUUAUUUUUCAUCUCCUCAACAUUUCAAAUUGUUGCAUUUAUCCUCCCUCUAUCAGGGUUCCAUUACUAUUUUGUCCAUUUCUUAUAAAUUAUACCGAAAAUAACCCUUCAAAGUGACACAAAUAUAUUAAAAAUUUAUUUUUUUUCUUAUAAAAGAGGUAAGAACAAUUUGAUUAUUUUGUGCCCUCUCUAUUAACACCGUACUUUUCUGAAAUUAUAUUUGAAGUUUUAACUAGGUAAAAUAUAGAUUUUUAAAAGCUGAUAUUUAUAGAGGGAUUUUCUAUAAUUUAGCCAAAACAAAA